rnacentral:rRNA from 1 species
AUUGAACGCUGGCGGCAGGCCUAACACAUGCAAGUCGAGCGAGCGGCGGACGGGUGAGUAAUGUCUGGGAAACUGCCAGAUGGAGGGGGAUAACUACUGGAAAAGGUAGCUAAUAACGCAUAACAUCCGGUGUGCACAGAUGGGAUUAGCUUGUGGGUGGGGUAACGGCUCACCAAGGCGACGGUCCCUAGCUGGUCUGAGAGGAUGACCAGCCACACUGGAACUGAGACACGGUCCAGACUCCUACGGGAGGCAGCAGUGGGGAAGUUUGCACAAUGGGCGAAAUCCUGAUGCAGCCAUGCCGCGUGUAUGAAGAAGGCCUUCGGGUUGUAAAGUACUUUCAGCGGGGAGGCGUUACCCGCAGAAGAAGCACCGGCUAACUCCGUGCCAGCAGCCGCGGUAAUAC